AUUGAACGCUGGCGGAAUGCUUUACACAUGCAAGUCGAACGGCAGCACGGACUUCGGUCUGGUGGCGAGUGGCGAACGGGUGAGUAAUGUAUCGGAACGUGCCCAGUUGUGGGGGAUAACGUAGUGAAAAUUACGCUAAUACUGCAUACGAUCUAUGGAUGAAAGCGGGGGAUCGCAAGACCUCGCGCGAUUAGAGCGGCCGAUAUCAGAUUAGGUAGUUGGUGGGGUAAAGGCCCACCAAGCCAACGAUCUGUAGCUGGUCUGAGCGGACGACCAGCCACACUGGAACUGAGACACGGUCCAGACUCCUACGGGAGGCAGCAGUGGGGAAUUUUGGACAAUGGGCGAAAGCCUGAUCCAGCCAUUCCGCGUGCAGGAUGAAGGCCCUCGGGUUGUAAACUGCUUUUGUACAGAACGAAAAGGUUUCUACUAAUACUAGGAGCUCAUGACGGUACUGUAAGAAUAAGCACCGGCUAACUACGUGCCAGCCGCCGCUGUAA
rnacentral:rRNA from 1 species